AUACGACUACUACGAAAUACCUAUAAUGGUAUUAGAAUUCAUUCGUUUAUUCUGGUAUUCUGCAGAAUUUUUUAUGAAACGAUAGAAUGCUGAUCCGUUUGUUUUAUUUAAAAUAUUUUUACAGGUGGUUGUGUUCCAAGAAAAAGAUGAUAUAAACCGUCAUGAAUUCAUAAAAAAUACACAUGUUGUAGUAUUUUGACAUACUUAUGAACCAAAGAUUACUAAAGGGAUAGCUACGGGGCUUAAAAACAAAAUCCUUAUUACACAUAGAUCACAGAAAUGGUAAACGCGAUGUAACGGGAAGAAGUCUGAACGAUAAAUGAAGUCUCGUAUUAGUGAAUAUACCACCUGGAGCCAGAUUUUAAAAUUACGUCACAUAAUAUCUCUCCUAUCUAUCACAAACAAAUUAUAAUAACUGCAUUGUAAUAACUAAUAAUGUUUUAUUUUUGUUUUAUUUUAUAUAUGUAUGUGAUAUGCAUGAU